rnacentral:rRNA from 1 species
UGGGGAAUAUUGGACAAUGGGGGGAACCCUGAUCCAGCCAUGCCGCGUGUGAAGAAGGCCUUAUGGUUGUAAAGCACUUUAAGCGAGGAGGAGGCUCUCUUGGUUAAUACCCAAGAAGAGUGGACGUUACUCUCAGAAUAAGCACCGGCUAACUCUGUGCCAGCAGCCGCGGUAAUACAGAGGGUGCGAGCGUUAAUCGGAUUUACUGGGCGUAAAGCGUGCGUAGGCGGCUUUUUAAGUCGGAUGUGAAAUCCCCGAGCUUAACUUGGGAAUUGCAUUCGAUACUGGGAAGCUAGAGUAUGGGAGAGGAUGGUAGAAUUCCAGGUGUAGCGGUGAAAUGCGUAGAGAUCUGGAGGAAUACCGAUGGCGAAGGCAGCCAUCUGGCCUAAUACUGACGCUGAGGUACGAAAGCAUGGGGAGCAAACAGG